rnacentral:rRNA from 1 species
UACAGAGGUCCCAAGCGUUGUUCGGAUUCACUGGGCGUAAAGGGUGCGUAGGUGGUAAGGCAAGUCAGGUGUGAAAUCUCCGGGCUCAACCCGGAAAUGGCAUUCGAAACUACCUUGCUAGAGGGUUUGAGGGGGGACUGGAAUACUUGGUGUAGCAGUGAAAUGCGUAGAUAUCGGGAGGAACACCAACGGCGAAGGCAGCACUCUGGGCUGGAACUGACGCUGAGGAGCGAAAGCGUGGGUAGCAAACAGG